GAUUUUUAACAAAAUAAUAAAAAAAUAUUUUAAUUAUAUAACUACUACCCGACCCCACCCCUACAUGACCCGACGCGACCCUAAAUUGACCUAAACACACACACAAAAAUCACGCACACACACAAAAAUACCCUAAACACACCCAAAAUCUUCCUUCCAAUCGCAAGCUCAGCUCCAGCUCCAGCGACUGCUCCUCCUCUGACUGCUCCGGUGAUGACAGGUUAGCUCAGGUUAGAAUUUUGUUGUAUUUUGUGAAAUUUGUGCUUUUUGAGGUUCAUUUAUAGGUGUACUAGUUUAUAUAAUUGUGAAAUUUAUAAUGGUGAAGAUUAGGUUAGUUUGAACUAGUUUUUUUAAGCUCAUUUGUAGCUCGAAUUUUGUUUAGUUAUUUACGGAAUUAUUGCGAUAUACUCAUAAUUAUUUGUAGUUUUUCUUGUUUAGCUUCUUGUUUUAGAUAUGACUUUUUCUUGAUUGAAGUUAUUAAUUGUAUAAAUCCUCAAAGUUGGAAUCUUUAAUUGUGAUUUUGUAAGAUUCUUGAAUGGAUUUUAUGGUUUAGCUUGUUGUUUUUUAUGAGGGUUUAACUUGUUGUCUUUAAAAUGAAUGGAUUUACUUUUAUGGUUUAGCCGUUUAUCUUGUUGUUUUUGAUAUGAGUUUUGCUAAAUCACUCAAAGUUGGAAUAUUUUGUCUUGAUUUGUUUAGGUUCUUGAUUCGGUGAUCGGUUAUCUCUUUCACUUUAAUUUAGGUCAAUCAAAG
rnacentral:lncRNA from 1 species